rnacentral:rRNA from 1 species
CGGACUGUAGGCUGCAACUCGCCUACACGAAGUUGGAAUUGCUAGUAAUCGUGGAUCAGCAUGCCACGGUGAAUACGUUCCCGGGCCUUGUACACACCGCCCGUCACACCAUGGGAGCCGGUAAUACCCGAAGUCAGUAGUCCAACCUCGUGAGGACGCUGCCGAAGGUAGGAUUGGCGACUGGGGUGAAGUCGUAACAAGGUAUC